rnacentral:rRNA from 1 species
CCUACGGGAGGCAGCAGUGGGGAAUUUUGGACAAUGGGCGAAAGCCUGAUCCAGCAAUGCCGCGUGAGUGAAGAAGGCCUUCGGGUUGUAAAGCUCUUUUGUCAGGGAAGAAACGGUGAAAGCUAAUAUCUUUUGCUAAUGACGGUACCUGAAGAAUAAGCACCGGCUAACUACGUGCCAGCAGCCGCGGUAAUACGUAGGGUGCAAGCGUUAAUCGGAAUUACUGGGCGUAAAGCGUGCGCAGGCGGUUUUGUAAGUCUGAUGUGAAAUCCCCGGGCUCAACCUGGGAAUUGCAUUGGAGACUGCAAGGCUAGAAUCUGGCAGAGGGGGGUAGAAUUCCACGUGUAGCAGUGAAAUGCGUAGAUAUGUGGAGGAACACCGAUGGCGAAGGCAGCCCCCUGGGUCAAGAUUGACGCUCAUGCACGAAAGCGUGGGGAGCAAACAGGAUUAGAUACCCUGGUAGUCCACGCCCUAAACGAUGUCUACUAGUUGUCGGGUCUUAAUUGACUUGGUAACGCAGCUAACGCGUGAAGUAGACCGCCUGGGGAGUACGGUCGCAAGAUUAAAACCUCAAAGGAUUGACGG